rnacentral:rRNA from 1 species
UAGGGAAUCUUCCACAAUGGACGCAAGUCUGAUGGAGCAACGCCGCGUGAGUGAAGAAGGUUUUCGGAUCGUAAAGCUCUGUUGUUGGUGAAGAAGGAUAGAGGCAGUAACUGGUCUUUAUUUGACGGUAAUCAACCAGAAAGUCACGGCUAACUACGUGCCAGCAGCCGCGGUAAUACGUAGGUGGCAAGCGUUGUCCGGAUUUAUUGGGCGUAAAGCGAGCGCAGGCGGAAUGAUAAGUCUGAUGUGAAAGCCCACGGCUCAACCGUGGAACUGCAUCGGAAACUGUCAUUCUUGAGUGCAGAAGAGGAGAGUGGAAUUCCAUGUGUAGCGGUGGAAUGCGUAGAUAUAUGGAAGAACACCAGUGGGGAAGGCGGCUCUCUGGUCUGCAACUGACGCUGAGGCUCGAAAGCAUGGGUAGCGAACAGG